GACUCUUAUCCAUGAUACGUCGAUCAGCACCCUGGUCUGCGUGCAUGCAACCAAAGAAGGGAUAUUUUCACAUCCCUUCUCAAAUCAAAAAAAAUUUAAAAAACUCACAUAGAUUGAGGAUUCAAUAUAAAUUCCAAAAAAUUAAAAAUAGUGAUAAAAUUCUUACAAACAGAUGCUAUGCUUGCAUCUCUUCAUGGGAGUUUUGAUCACCAUGCAUGUAGGCAUCAGGACCAACUUAUGGCAUCCGUGUGGCAUCC
rnacentral:lncRNA from 1 species